GUCUACUAAGAAGCAUCGAUCCAUGGGGUCUGAGGAGUGGGUGAGCCGCCUGAGGGCAUUUGCCUCUUCUGGCACUUGGCCCUCCAGUGCAGGGAACAGGCCAUCUCCAAAACAGGCCAAGUGGCACAACCUCUACCAGAAGAUUGAGAAGUGUCCCAUGAUGCUGCGUGGGCAGACCUUAAUGUUAGGGAUAGCCCAGACAUGUACCUGUGGCUUUCACUCCCAGCAGUCUGUGAGAAGCCCUGCAGCUACCUUUGCCUCCACCUCUGCUGCGCCUGCACGGAGCCCUGGGAGGCCUGCAUUGACGCUGGC
ensembl:lncRNA